GUUUUGCUGGCGGGCAGGCCGUUGCCUUCGAUUGCGGUUUGAAGGGGGGAUGUGUUCGGUGUUCAAGGCUGAAUU
rnacentral:tRNA from 1 species